CAUGCCGCGCGCGGGAAAGCCCAAGCGGGAGGGGAUGGGGUCGCGGCCCAUCAGGUAGUGGGCGGGGCAGCGGCCCGCCCAGCCGACGACGGGUAGCCGGGUUGAGAGACCGACCGGCCACAUUGGGACUGAGAUACGGCCCAGACUCCUACGGGAGGCAGCAGUGGGGAAUAUUGCGCAAUGGGGGCAACCCUGACGCAGCAACGCCGCGUGCGGGAAGAAGGCGUCCGCGUCGUAAACCGCUUUCAGCAGGGAAGACAUCGACGGUACCUGCAGAAGAAGCCCCGGCUAACUACGUGCCAGCAGCCGCGGUAACACGUAGGGGGCGAGCGUUAUCCGGAUUCAUUGGGCGUAAAGCGCGCGCAGGCGGCCGCUCAAGCGGGACCUCUAAUCCCGGGGCUCAACCCCGGGCCGGGUCCCGAACUGGGCGGCUCGCGUCAGGUAGGGGGAGGCGGAAUUCCCGGUGUAGCGGUGGAAUGCGCAGAUAUCGGGAGGAACACCGACGGCGAAGGCAGCCUCCUGGGCCUCGACGGACGCUGAGGCGCGAAAGCCGGGGGAGCGAACAGGAUUAGAUACCCUG
rnacentral:rRNA from 1 species